AUGCUACCCCCUCCGUCCGGAAAUACUUGUCGAAGAAAUGCAUAAAAAUGGAUGUAUCUAGAACUAAAAUACAUCUGGAUACAUCCAUUCCUCCGACGAGUAUUUCCGGACGGAGGGAGUAGUUA
rnacentral:pre_miRNA from 1 species